rnacentral:lncRNA from 1 species
CGUGUCUAUUAUUUUCACUAUACUUGUUUGUUAGAUGGACCAAAGAAAAAUGGAUGAAAAAUCAUUUCUUUGAAUCCCAUUUUUCUUGGUCUAGAACAAAAAUCCCAACAUGAAAUCAAGCAACAUUUUAUAAGGUUAAAGUGAUGUUAUUCUGCAUAUGUUAAAUUUUUUGUUUUUUUUGUGAUUUUAUGUUCAAGUUGACUCUCCAUUUAUUGCUAAUUAAUUUUAGGUUGGAUGUUUAACAUGUCAUUAAAGCCUAGAUUCUAUUUGUAAUGUGAUAAGCUUCUGUUUCAACCUACAAUACAUAUUACAAGACUUGUUAACGUGUUGUUAUAUCACAUCUAUUAAAUUUUGGAUUUCUUAUGAUCUUAUAUUCAAAUUGGAUUCCUCUAUUUAACCAAUUGUUUUAAGUUAGAUACUUAAUAUAUAAAAUGAAAUGGCUUUCAAAAAACUUAAAUUUAAAAGAAAAUAAAACAAUUUUUUUACAAGAAUCCCAUUCAUGAACCAAGGUUUCCUUCCUAAUCAUGUUAGUGGUUUUCUAAGGAUUUGGUAGCCAAGUUCAUAAGAGCUUCAACCUUAACUCCAAUAGCCAAAAACUUUUUGGUAUAGUCCAUGGUUUUCCAUAAAGAAAAAAAUUCAUCUCCACCUUUGUGUCAAUCCUUUUGCUAUUAAACCCAUAAAAAUUUAUGCUUUCUCUAGAUAGGUACAUGCAUUUCAAACCCAUUUUGAGUUCAGUCACUUGAACUCAUAAAAAAAAAAUAUGAGGUUAGCACAAAACAAUCAUUUGUUUUGCUUAUAUAUUAAUAUAAUAAGAGACAAUCUAUUAAUAAAAUGAACUAAUUUUUUUCAAUUAGAGUUAAAAGAAAAAGCAUAUAUAUAGGUUAAUUUUGAUGCGAGGGAGAAAUAUAUAAAUAAGAAUGAAGUGAAAUAAACCUACACUUGAAGUCUUAAACUAGAAGUUGAAAAACUAAUUCAAGGAUUAAAGUUUAAAGAAAUGAAAAAGCGAUGGAUGAAAAAAAGAAAAAUAAGUAUAAGCAAAAGUAAAGUGGCUAGACUUUUUUUUUAUUUUUUUUCUCUUGAUACUUUUCCUUUCUUGUCCUACACUUGAAAGUUAAAAGUUAAAACCUUAUACCAAUUCUCCAAGAAAUUUUCUCUCAACCUUUCCAAGCUUUGAUAUUUGAUUAGGUUAGUUUUUAAAUAUUUUUUUAAUUAAAAGGUUUUUUUUUAGUUUUCUAUUCAUUUAUAAAUGAAAAAGAAAUUAGAAAUGCCAAUCCCAUCUCUUGGCCACAUGGUCAACAAAACAAAAAUAUCUAUGUCAUCAUUAGCUGUCCAAUAAAAAUCAUGUUAAGUUGCUAAAAUUCCCUCGUAAGCAAUGGCAAUAUCGUAACUUUGUUAACGAUUAAUUAAAAUUUAUAAUUUAAAAAAAUAAUUCAAUUUUGUCAAAUAUUAUGCUUGAAUAAAUCUAUAAUUCAUUUAAGUAAAGACUAAAAAGACAAAUUGCACAAUAUGACAACUAAUUAACACAACACUCAUAAUUUUGAGUACUAUUAGAGUGUAAGACUAAAGGUGCGGUUUCAUGUCUAUCAAUAAUCCCUUUUUAACAAUUUUGAAUUGUUCCUUUUCAUCACUCAAGGAAAAAAUAGUGAAAGCUCACCUUUCCAAAUAUUUUGGUUGUUAUCUUUAUGAAUAUUUUUUUAUAUUAAUUUCUUAUAUUUCAUCAUAUAAGCUUUGAAGCAUUUUUUACUUUUCAAUCUUAGAAAUGAUUGAAUGUUUUACAUAUAAAAUUUUAAUGAGAACAAAAUAUUUUUCUUGAUGACAAUUAAAUUUUUAUGAGAAUAUUAAAUAAUAAUUAAAUUAACAAAAUUCAAUUCAAUCAAAUUUAACCAUAAGGUGGAUAGAUUUUUUAACAAUUUGAUAUGUCUUUGAUUCAGAGUAGAGUUUUUGAAUGAAUGAUUGGAAUGAUUGAUUCAAUUUUUAUUAAUAGAACAGAAAAUAUGUUGAUUUUAAAUACAAUAUAGUAACAUAACAUAAAAAAGAUAUGAGUAUGAUAAAAAAAAUUUGUAUUUAACACAUCAACACGAAUUUAGCAUAAAAAAAUUUUAAUUUUAGACAUUUUUAACAUGAAAUAAAUAUAAUAUAAAUUCAAGAACUACCAAAUUUACAAAUUUAUAAGGUAGUUAGUUUUGAAAAGAAAAAAUAGUAAAAUAAAAAUAGAGGGAAAACAACAAAAAUAAAGUAAAAUGGGUAAUUUAAAUGCAAAAAAAAGAAAAUGGAAUAACAAUUUUAGUUAUUAAUGUUGUCAAGGAAAAGGAUCCUUUCUACUACUUCAAACCAAUGGAAGUUUCCACUAAUUUAUCCAAAAGAUAAUAAUGCACUUCUAAUCAAAUCAAUUGUUAAAAUUUAAUGACUUUAAAUUGAGCAUAAAAAUAAAUAAAAAUGAAUUAUAAAGGUAAAUAUGAUUUGAACAAAUAUUGACCAUAGAUUUGGUUAAAAAUGCAUUUAUCACCCUUGAAUAAAAUAGUAAAAACUUUCACUAAUUUUUAAAUAGUGGAAAGGAUCUUUCCCCAGUUGUUAGAUGGUGAAACGAAUUAAAAAAGCCUUCUUCACAUGUGCAAAGGAAUCACUUUUUUUCAAUUUGUUUCCUAAAUACCCCCUAUCAGUGUUACUCUUACUUCUCUACUUUAUUUAUUGCUUAGUAAUUCAUUUAUUUAUAUUAUUAUGAUAUUGAUAAUUUGUAUAUUUAUAUUAUAUUUUAUAUGAAAAUUACAUGUCAUAAUUCGUGUGAAUACAAAAAUAUAAAAUACAUUUUUUUAAUUUGUUAAGUGCAUAUAUGAUUUAUGCUAAAAUUUUAAACUGUCAUUUUUAUGUUUUUUUUUCCCACAUUCUCGUGUUAUCUCAUAUUUGGUUUUAGAUUUUUAAGUCUCUUUUUCCAUUUUCAAGCACACCUACCCAUAUGCCCCAAGGUAGGUAGGCAAAGUCAAAGAUUUUAAGAUGGACAAGAAAGAUUGGUUUCUAAAUAAAAGUGAUGUGAAUGUGUAUACUAGUAAAUGAUGCAAUGCACACAUGUGAAUAAAAGAUAAAAACAUAUUUUUAAUUUGCUCAUUGGAUAAAGAGAUUCUAUUGGAAUUGUUGUCAUAUAAUGAAAAGAACAAAGAUUUCAGGUUAUAUUGGACUUAGCUUAAUGUUGCUAAUCUAACAUAUAUUAUAUUACUGAUACAUGCAUAGCUGAUAAGGUCUACCAUGUAGACAUCUAUAUGAAUAACCUAUAUUUUUAACAAAUAGGAUCUUAUAAAUAAUUCUUAAAUUUACAUUAUAUUUCAAAUAAUCUUAUCUAAUCAAUUUUCAAUGUUUAAAAAUUACAAAGAUUAACUUUAUUUAAUUCUUUAACUCAUAUAUGGUUUAUCUUAUUCAAAAUCAAAUAAAGUUUAUCUCUCAAUUCACCAUUUUCAAAUGCGUAUGAUAUUUAAAAUUUACAUAGGUUUUUCAUACAUGUACAACAUUUAAAAUUCAAAUAACUUUAAAAUUUAAAUGGUUAAAAAUUGUUUAGUCAUCAUAAUUGUCAUCUAGAAAUUAUCCUAUACUUUUGUGUUUAUAAAUAGUAUGUGUUACAUCAUUCUUUUCUUUUUGUAUUUGUAAAUGUUAGUUCAAAGGUAUAUCACUUUUCAUUUUUUCUUUACAACUAUUAUUUUUUCAAUUUAUUUUUUCUUUUUAACACAAAUCUCUUAAUCUUUUUUAUAUUUUAUUUAGUAAUUAAUCAAGAUCACAUAAGUGAAGGUAUGUCAAUACUAUUUUAAUGAUUUAACUCAUCAUUCAACAAUAUAUUAAUAACUAUGAAGAGUGUUAUAUGUCAUUUUCUAUUAAAACUAUCAAAUUUAUAUUUAAAAAAUAUGUGGCUAUUGGCUCUUUCAUUUCAGAUUUGAUAUAUGAUAUUACAACUGUCUUACUUGUAUAAGGAUAUACCCAUGUUUUCAUGGGUUUUUCAUACAUGUAGAACAUUUAAAAUUCAAAUAGCUUUAAGAUUUAAGUGGUUAAAAAUUGUUUAUUCAUCAUAAUUGUCAUCCAAAAAUUACACUAUACUUUUGUGUUUAUAAAUAGUAUGUGUUACAUCAUUCUUUUUUGUUUUUAUUUGUAAAUGUUAGUUUAAAGGUAUAUUAUUUUUCAUUUUUUCUCUAUAACUAUUAUUUUUUCAAUUCAUUUUUUUCUUUUUGACACAAAUCUCUUAACUUUUUUUUAUAUUUUAUUUAAUAAUUAAUCAAGAUCACAUAAGUGAAGGUAUGUCAAUACUUUUUUAAUGAUUUAAUUCAUCAUUUAACAAUAUAUUAAGAAUUAUAAAAAGUGUUAUAUGUCCUUUUCUAUUAAAACGAUCAAAUUUAUAUUUUAAAAAAAUGUGGUUAUUGGCUCUUUCAUUUCAGAUUUGAUAUAUGAUGCUAUAACCAUCUUGCUUAUGGAGGGAUACACCCAUGUUGUCAAACAAAGUUUCAUGUUGUGUAAUUUUAUCUCAAUUUUUUGCUUUAUUAUUCAAUAAGUUGUAAUUAUUAAUUAGAUUUAAGAAGAAAUAUAUUAUUUUCACUUUCAUUCAUUUUUCUCCUUUUGAUUUUUCUUUUAAAGUUGUUUCUUCAAAUCUUAAUUCUUGAUUUAUUGUGGUCUAUGUCUAUCUAUAUCCAUUACCAUAAUUUCAACUUUCUUAUUUUGCUUUUAAUUGAUGUUUUUCUAUUUAAAAAUUCAAUUUUAUUUUAUUAUAAAUAAACAAAUGUUAUGCUUAGAUAAAAAAAAUUUCAUGGUUAUUAGUUUAAAAAUUAUAAUUGGAAAUUAUAAUAUAAUAUUAAUCUUGUAAAUUUUGAAACUUAAAUAUAAUUUUAAAAAAUCUUAAUUUGUGUGUACCCAUACAUAUUUAAAUAAGUAUAACUAAUUCAUGCAUCGCAGAGUCACAAGCUAGUUAAGAUUAAAUUUUAAUUAAUUAGAUCAAAUUAUACAAUCAAUUUUUGCACUUAAAUAAAAUUAGAAAUUUUGUCUAUGUAGUAUAGUUCAUAAAAAUUUAAACCUUCUACUAUUGUUGCAACAUACGGAUCUAAGGAACCCAACCAAUAGACUUAAGUAAUGGAAAAACAAAGGGUGCUAAAAAGCAUUUUUGAUAAAAAAUAAAAUAAAAUAAUGUGUUGCCACCAAUCUUUUUUAGGGUGUAAUUCAUUGCAAAAAAAUGUUGUCCUUUUGGUAAAACAUUUAAAAUAGGCUUAAAGUUGUAUAAAAAAUUAUCUUUAUGGUUUGCAAAAAUAAAGUUGGGUCCAAGAGUUGGUUACACGUAGGAAAGAUUAGCACAUCCACAAUGUCCAUCGAAAACAGUACCAAUUGAUUGAUUUCAUCCUUAGAUUUUGAUGAAAAUGGUCCUCUUCUAAUGUUUAGAAAUUAAUUCCUUUCUUUUUCAAAACCUAAUUUUUUUUUCUUUUCUUUUGAAAGCAAAUAAAUUUUAUUUGGAAAUAAAGCAUUUUAUUUUUUAGAUCAAGAGUAACACGUCUUGAGUAUCAAGACACCUCUCUCGCUCUUUUAUAUUUAGGUAGAGCUUCAAAAGUAUUUUUUACUUAAGGGUUUUCAAAUCGCCUCACAAAAUCGAGAUAUUACAUUUUUAAGUGAGAUGAUGAUCCAAGAGGGGGUGAAUAAUAUUUCUCCAAAUUCUUCCCAAAUAAAUGAUUUCAAUAUAAUUGAAUAGAAAUUAAAACAAUAAGUACUUUUGAUGAAAAUAUAAUGCAAUAACAAUUAAUGAACCUAAAAUCAAAUAUAAACAACAAUAAUGUAAGGAGAUAGGGAUAGAGAAAUCAAACGCAAUGAUUUAUAGAGGUUCGGUCCUUUCCACAAGGCACCUACGUCCUCUCUCUUGGUUGUUUACACCAAGGCUUCAAUCCACUAAUUGAAAAAAAAUUCUUACAAGAUACAAACCUAUCUUUUACUAAAUCUCUGUCUUUUUCUUAAAACUUAGAUAGCAACUUUUACCCUUACAAUAUCAAGAGGAUACCUCACAUCUUGCUUACAAGAUAACCCAAAUAAUUUUUGCAAACUAAAAUACCUCUCAAGGCUGAGUGUUUGCCUAAUGAAGUGCAAAGAAAAUGAUGAAUGAAAACACAAGAAUAUUUUGGAUACAAGAAAUACAUGGGAUAUUGAAUUUAAGCUCUAAAAACUCUUUAUUCUAAGAGAAAAUGAAAAAAUAACUUAUUAGCACUUGCUCUCAUGUUUCAUCAACAUUCUUGGUGUGUUGGAGUGGCCAAUAUGUAGAGAAAAUGAAGAACUAGCUGUUGGGGAAGCUUACAGUGAAGAAAUGCCUGUUGAAAGUAAGAAAAAGUAACCGUUAGAACAUUCUGGGCAUGACCCAAUUGAUCCUUUCCAUAAGGGGAUCAAUUGGUUCAUGUUUUGAACCAAUUUGCCUUUGAAAAUCAUGACCUGAUCGAUCCCUUCCUUCAGGGGAUUAAUUGGUUUAGCUAGGGGAUCGAUCCUAUAACCCAGGUGAUCGGUCCUGUCAAGCUACUCUGUUGUAUCCUAUUUUGCACUCCACUUACUAAUUUGAUGAUAUCUUGUCCAAAUCACAAAACAUUUGAUGAUUUAGAAACUAGACUUAAAGGGAUUUCUAUCCAUAUAAAAGUAAUCACCAAAUUCAUUAUGUACGAAUUAUAGUGAAUUUUUAAAUCUACCUCUUGUGCAAUUUUUAGACAACUGUAGAGUGUCUAGUAAAAAUUCAAAAU